rnacentral:rRNA from 1 species
AACGAACGCUGGCGGCGUGCCUAACACAUGCAAGUCGAACGAGAAAGUUUCCUUCGGGAAACCAGUAAAGUGGCGCAAGGGUGAGUAACACGUGAAUAAUCUGCCUACGAAUUCGGGAUAACUCGACGAAAGUUGUGCUAAUACCGGAUAAGACCACACUUCCUAUGGAGCGUGGCCAAAGGAGCCUCAAACUCCGUUUGUAGAUGAGUUCGCGGACCAUUAGCUUGUUGGCGGGAUAACAGCCCACCAAGGCGACGAUGGUUAGCCGGCCUGAGAGGGUGAUCGGUCACACUGGAACUGAGACACGGUCCAGACUCCUACGGGAGGCAGCAGUGGGGAAUAUUGCGCAAUGGGCGAAAGCCUGACGCAGCAACGCCGUGUGAGGGAUG